UUCGUUAGCAAGGAGCGGCUCGGCUGCGCGUUUGGGGGACCGUCGUGCUAACGUGGGGAUGGAGCCGCCGAAGAAGGCUACCUGUUUGUUUGCUUUAGAUCCGCGCCCAUCAUCCAGUGAGAACUGUGCAAAUACUGAGAGAGUCUCGGGUUAUUCAGUUGAGUCCUGAAGCAAAUAUAGAAUCAACCCACAAAGAGUGACAGUGAAACAACACUGGCACCCUUAUAACUCUGUAACACUGCCAAGGAAUUAUAUAGCCAAAUACCCAGAUGGUGUGAAUCAACAUAGCUCCAUUGACUUCUUCAGAAUUAACCCGUUUUAGACCAUCUGAAGACCUGGCCCACGGAAAUUAUCA